rnacentral:lncRNA from 1 species
UCUUCCUCCAUCCUCCUCCCAUCUGCCUCUGCUACCGAGCUCCUUCUAGCGUCCUGAAUCUCCUUUUAGUGCCAUAAAAAUCUUUCUAGUGCUCUAAAUCUCUGCUACCGCCCCACACCUCCUCCAUCUGGUCUUCUUCGUCCGUCGGCUUCUCGUCCUCCUUCUUCUUCUUCCCCCGAGCGUGGUGGAGCACCUUCGCCGUCGAUUGAGUGUGAUUUUUUUUUCUUUGUUCAUCUUCUUCUCCCAAGCGUAUUACAUUUCUAUUUUUUCAUGAUAUUUUUUUUUAAAUUUAUGAUCGUUUAUGAAGGAUCAGCGAAGGGUAAACUCUGUUGGUGGAGAUUGCAAGGUUUUGAAGAUCGGAAGAGUUUUUUUCCCUUGUCAAG